AUGAACGCUGGCGGCGUGCCUAAUACAUGCAAGUCCAGCGAACAGACGAGGAGCUUGCUCCUCUGACGUUAGCGGCGGACGGGUGAGUAACACGUGGAUAACCUACCUAUAAGACUGGGAUAACUUCGGGAAACCGGAGCUAAUACCGGAUAAUAUAUUGAACCGCAUGGUUCAAUAGUGAAAGACGGUUUUGCUGUCACUUAUAGAUGGAUCCGCGCCGCAUUAGCUAGUUGGUAAGGUAACGGCUUACCAAGGCAACGAUGCGUAGCCGACCUGAGAGGGUGAUCGGCCACACUGGAACUGAGACACGGUCCAGACUCCUACGGGAGGCAGCAGUAGGGAAUCUUCCGCAAUGGGCGAAAGCCUGACGGAGCAACGCCGCGUGAGUGAUGAAGGUCUUCGGAUCGUAAAACUCUGUUAUUAGGGAAGAACAAAUGUGUAAGUAACUAUGCACGUCUUGACGGUACCUAAUCAGAAAGCCACGGCUAACUACGUG
rnacentral:rRNA from 1 species